GCUCCCGUAGCAAAGUGGUCAAUGCGUCGUGCUUAUAUCUAAUAUAUACUUUAGUCACGCGAAGGUCGCGGGUUCGAUCCCCGCCGGGAGCA